GUGCUCACUUCGGCAGCACGUAUACAAAAUUGGAACAAUUCAGAGAAGAUGAGCAUGGCCCCUGCGCAAGGAUGACACACAAAUUCAUGAAGGGUUCCAUAUUUUU
ensembl:snRNA U6 U6 spliceosomal RNA